CCAAAAGCCAUGUGUCAAAGCUUGAAUUCAGCCAAUCAGGCAGGAAAAUACAAAUGAACUAGCUGUGAGGUCCAGCAAAAACACCAUAAUUGUAGCUUUGAAUGUUGAAAUAGAGAUGAGGAAACCAAAUCUCAGAGAAGGUAACUUGCUCAUCAUCUAGAUGAUGGCAAGACUGAGGCAUAUGGCCACAUUGAAAGACCUGCCUGGGGAAAUGCCUUCAAUGAUGGGGAACAUAAGCCAAGAUCUGGAACUUCUUAAUUCUUCAUUUGAUGUCAACUUAACAAUACAUUAGACUUGCAGAUAUUGCUGGCAUUCUCUACAUUGCAACCAUUUUAAUUUCAUAACAAAUUUCUGGCUGAAAUCUAUAGAAGUAUCAUUGAAACAAUAUUUCUAUAGUAGAAUUCUAACAGUGAGUGAGGUAUAUUCUGCUCCAUCAGCAAUGAUGUGUGAGAAAGAAUAUUCUAAAUGAUGCCAAACAGAGUUUUAGCUUCUGUGAGGACACUAGGGAAAUAUGAGACAUAAUCCUACCUUAAAAAUAAUUCAGGGUCUGAUUUGAGAAAGUAAUUGCACUCUCAUGAAGUAAUCACAGCACAAAAUAUGUGGUGCUGACAAAAAUAGCAAGAGGGAUCAAGGGAACACAGAGAUUGCCUAGGAGGUGGAGGGUCCAUGGAAACAAUGGUUGUUGAAUCUUAAAGGGUGGAAAUGUUUCAACAAGGACAAAAAGAGAGAAAAGAAGA